rnacentral:rRNA from 1 species
UACGUAGGGCGCAAGCGUUGUCCGGAAUUAGUGGGCGUAAAGAGCUCGUAGGCGGUUUUGUCGCGUCUGCUGUGAAAACCUAAGGCUCAACCUUGGGCUUGCAGUGGGUACGGGCAGACUAGAGUGCGGUAGGGGGUGACUGGAAUUCCUGGUGUAGCGGUGGAAUGCGCAGAUAUCAGGAGGAACACCGAUGGCGAAGGCAGGUCACUGGGCCGCAACUGACGCUGGAGGAGCGGAAAGCAUGGGGAGCGAAACAGG